rnacentral:rRNA from 1 species
UACGAAGGGGGCUAGCGUUGCUCGGAAUGACUGGGCGUAAAGGGCGCGUAGGCGGUUCGUACAGUCAGACGUGAAAUUCCCGGGCUCAACCUGGGGGCUGCGUUUGAUACGUGCGGGCUUGAGUUCGGAAGAGGGUCGUGGAAUUCCCAGUGUAGAGGUGAAAUUCGUAGAUAUCGGAAGGAACACCGGUGGCGAAAGCGGCGCGCUGGACCUCUUCUGACGCUGAGGCGCGAAAGCCAGGGAGCAAACGGG